rnacentral:lncRNA from 1 species
GGAGAGAAAGGGUUUGCAGAAAGGUUUGGCUGAGAAUGAGGGAAAGAGAGAAGGAUAGGUGGUUUAAGUGUUUUUCCGGCAGCUUGACAGAGACUCUGUCAAAUGUUAGAAUAGUCUGCCAAAAUAGGAAAAAUGGGAGAGAAGAAGGAAUAGAGCACGAAUUUGCUGGGUUUUGCAGGUGAGAGAGGAAGCUUGCUCUCUGGUUGUGGGUUGAUUGUUGUUGGGUAGGAGGUGCUUCAUUUAUGGCCGCUGGAAGCUCCUCCUUCCUAAGAAACCCUAAUGGUUUCCAUCCAAUUUGGCCAAAUCUUUCCAUUCCUUUCUCCUCU